UACAGUCAAUAUUACAAAUACUUACAUGGAACUUCAUCUCAGCAUAAUAGUCAUCAUUGUCCACACUGAAGAUCUUGUAGUUGGACAGUAUAUGAAGCAGCUCCCAUUCUCCUUGGUUCAUGAAGACACUCUUGUCCUCCCUGAGCUCCUCAGGGCUUCGCAUCAGGGUGAUGUUGAUGUCAUCAACUACAGAUCGAACACAAUGUCGGGAGCAGCAUGAAACGGCCGUGGAAACAAGUUACCUUUCACCCUCCACUCUGCUUUCUAAGCACAUGUCACAGCAGGGGAGAGUUCAUGGAUGCACAGAACAGAGCGGUUGUUCCACUCAAGUCUUAAUGAGAAGAGUUAAAGAGAGAGCCGGAUGUUGUUUUCUGAUGCCAGAUUCUCCAACAGAAUAAAGUACUGAAUGCAGAAUCACUGUAGAUAUGGUUAACAUCACAUAAGAACAUCACAAAGUCGCUGAUUGUGCGGUCAGGCAAAGCUCCAACUGGCCCAGAGCAUCAGCAGUGUACCGGCAUACGAGGCCAGAACCAACAGGUAAAAGCGAAACAGGAAACAGUCAAGCUUCGAGCAGAGGGCAAGCCAUUCAGCCUGAGCCGAAGACUCAUUGUCCUCCUGGGAUAAAGCCAAGCGGAGGGAAACCAGCUCCUGGAGAAGCCACUCCAGCCCAGAUGGAGCAUCCUGGAUCUCAUUCAGGGACAGCAGAUCCUCCUCCAGUGAGGGCUCAAGCUCAUAAUCUAUGAGAAGAUCAAAGAUUCUAGUUUAAAAUGUGAACAAUUAGUAUAGAUUCAUUCAGUUUCUAUAAAUAAAUGUGGACAAUUGAAACCAAUCAUCAUGGAUUCUUGACAUCAGUAUUGCUAUACUUUCAAAAAGGCUCAGUUUCCAAACACUUUGAUACAGACUGUUGAUCUGUUGUUGUUGUUGUUGUUGGGCAGCUGGCCAUAGAACAGCUCUUCCUCCUCUUUUAUCAUUAUUAAUAGAAAGCUUUUAGAUGGGAUUUUACAGAGAAAAAGAAAUACUUACACAACCAGCUGCUCCUCCGACUCUUUGUCUUAAGAGUCUUAUAAAUGCUUUUGUU